rnacentral:pre_miRNA from 1 species
GUGGGAUGGAAUCAGCGUUUGAACAUGCGAUUUUACGUCGAUUUCAUCUCGUGA